rnacentral:rRNA from 1 species
AUACGAAGGUCCCGAGCGUUAUUCGGAAUCACUGGGCGUAAAGGGAGCGUAGGCGGCGCGGUAAGUCAGAUGUGAAAUCUCAGAGCUCAACUCUGAAACUGCAUCCGAUACUGCCGUGCUAGAGUAAUGGAGGGGUAACUGGAAUUCUCGGUGUAGCAGUGAAAUGCGUAGAUAUCGAGAGGAAGACCAACGGCGAAGGCAGGUUACUGGACAUUUACUGACGCUGAGGCUCGAAGGCUAGGGUAGCGAAAGGGAUUAGAAACCCUAGUAGUCC